ACAGUGUUAGAAGAAUUAUGAAGCUGGGAACAAAUAAUCUAUGGUCCCAAUAUAGUUUAAAAGGCAGAAAGUCAAAGCGACCAUUUCAGCACCUUGCCCUCUGCAAAGUUAUAACAAAAGCCAGCCUCAGAGCUCAUAAAGGAUGCAGCGAAGGCCAACGUUGAAGAGCAAAUUGCCGAAUUUUUAAAAUAUGCUCCAGGCAAGCAAGGUGGUUCCAGAUUUAAGGUCAGAAAAGGCAACUUAUUGGAAUCGGCUUAAUUAGCAUUUUUGUUAAUAUCUAUAUUAAAACACGCACAGCAAAAUAGAUGGGUUAAAAGUUGAUUAUAUGGAAAUUAAACUUUAGUUCGUAUCAUUGGAAAGGCUGUUUUACGAUUUCACAAAUAAUGUAUCAUUUAUUGUAUGUUAAAUGAACGUCGGAUAAACGUUGUAUGAACGUUGUAUAAACGUCGGGUUUAGGUUGAAAAUACGUUACAUCCCAAUGUUCAUCCUAUCGUCGCCACCACGCUCAUAUGAGUUCACGAAAAAACGUUCACUUAACGUUUGUCCCCGACGUUGAGUGAACGUUCGACGAACGUUGGUACAACGUUGAGACAACGUGAUUUUGCUAGCUGGGUCAAUAUUGAAUAGUAUUAAACAAGAAUGCUAUUUUACUAAUAAUUCACGUUUAAAGCAAAAGUUUGCCGAAAUUUUUACAAAGCGUUAUCAUCUUGUGAAGAAGAUAAGGUUUAAAGUUUUUGUAGUGAAAAACGUUAUAUUUGUAAAAACAUCUAUAUUUUCUAUUGCGAUCUAGCGGAAGUAUCUUGCUGGAAGGCGUGUCUGCUUAGAAUUUGCUUCAGAAAGGUGGGAAACACAAACAUCAAAGUUUCCGACACGAUUGGGCCUUCUGUUUAAGAUAUCUUUCUGUGAUUUUAGUCACGCAACUAAUCAUCCCCUCUCGCUUAGAUUCAAGGUCUGCAGCAGGCUAUUCAAACACUAUGAUGCUAUAGAACGUACAACAUAAUAUGAAUAUUUGGACAAGUAUACGGUUGUUUCAUUCUGCACAGCACAUUCAUAUACAAUUGGUUGUAACGGUAACAAAAUAAAGUUUGUAAAGAAAUCCGAA